UACGUAGGGUGCAAGCGUUGUCCGGAAUUAUUGGGCGUAAAGAGCUUGUAGGCGGUUUGUCGCGUCUGCUGUGAAAUUUCGGGGCUCAACCCCGAACUUGCAGUGGGUACGGGCAGACUAGAGUGUGGUAGGGGAGACUGGAAUUCCUGGUGUAGCGGUGAAAUGCGCAGAUAUCAGGAGGAACACCCAUUGCGAAGGCAGCUCACUACGGGAUUAUUGACACUGAGGCACGAAAGCGUGGGGAUCAAACAGG
rnacentral:rRNA from 1 species